AUCAAAAUAUCACACGGAACAAAUUAAAUCUAAGGUUGUAAUUUCAAUCUUGGAGUAUCUUUUUAAAUAAAUGAUUAACGGUCAAAAAUAAAUGGUUGUCUCAAAUAUUUUUAUUUUAUUGAAGCACACAAGUAUUAAGCUUUUUGAAGAUUUAAUUUAACAAUUUGGUCUAUAAUUAAAUAGUGCAUCGGAAUGACACCAGGCGUAGCUCAUGCUAUUGAAAAA